CCUACGGGUGGCAGCAGUGGGGGAUAUUGCACAAUGGGGGGAACCCUGAUGCAGCGACGCCGCGUGGGUGAAGAAGCGCCUCGGCGCGUAAAGCCCUGUCAGCAGGGAAGAAAAUGACGGUACCUGAAGAAGAAGCCCCGGCUAACUACGUGCCAGCAGCCGCGGUAAUACGUAGGGGGCAAGCGUUAUCCGGAUUUACUGGGUGUAAAGGGGGCGUAGACGGCGGUGCAAGUCUGGAGUGAAAGCCGGGGGCCCAACCCCGGGACUGCUCUGGGAACUGUGUGGCUGGAGUGCAGGAGGGGCAGGCGGAAUUCCUAGUGUAGCGGUGAAAUGCGUAGAUAUCAGGAGGAACACCGGUGGCGAAGGCGGCCUGCUGGACUGCAACUGACGUUGAGGCCCGAAAGCGUGGGGAGCAAACAGGAUUAGAUACCCUGGUAGUC
rnacentral:rRNA from 1 species